rnacentral:misc_RNA from 1 species
CACAGAUGAAUAACCAGAGAUAAAGUAUUUUGGACGUCGAAGCAGAGCUGAUGUGGUUUCUGUCAGUAUGAAUUGCCAUCCAUUUGGGGAACCAGUGUCUGUUGUUUCUGCAAUCUCACUGAGCUCUUUUUGAAGUGAAUGAGCCUUGCCUGUUAACCCAACCUGGACCAUUAUAACGCUGCCUUUGUUGUUCAUAUAUUCGAAAUAGCCAGCCACUGCAACAGCUCCUACCAUGCCAGUAGUUAUAACAACAACACCCCAUGUAGAAAAAUCAACAAUUUCACUUCCUCCCCUCUUCAUCUUCUCAUUUUGAGAUGAUAAUGAAC